AGACCUAUGAAGGUCGAAGGGGAAGAAAAGCUGUAUCGAUUGUUGAGAUCUGGCGACUUGUUUAAAUUUCAUCAGCCUCACUUCUAUGAACUCUCAGGCCUCACGUGUACCAGCUCUCUGCUCUCCUUUGCCUUGGGACGUUCCAUCCCUGGAAGUUUCCCUGCCCACAUCUUUGUAGAGAGUCCAUUCUCCAAGCUUCAGUGUGUCAUCUGUGAGGACCGUGACCCACCUGGUACAUCGCCUCAGGGCAUUCAUUUCAGGCUCCUUCUAAAUGGCCAAGAGACAACACCAACAUUUUUGUAAUGGCCUGCAAGGCCUUCCGAGAUCUACCUCCUGCAACUCAGCUUCUCCUGUGCUCUCCUUCUGGACUCACUCUGCCUCAGCAACACUGGUCCCUGUUGCCCCACCAAUAUGCCAGCUGCACUGAUGAGGAAACUGAAACAGAAAAUCCAGAGUAAAUUCCACCAGGCCACACAGCAAGGUCUGAUAGAGCCAGGAGAGACUUUAUGAAAUCCAGACUCUCACACUAAUGCUCUAUCAGCUAGACCUCCAUGUGAGUCUCCCCAAUGUAGGUAGGAAGUGCUUUCCCUAAAAUGCUCAUAAAGCAAAUCAGAGCAAUGCUGCAUUCCAUGUGAUUUCUAAUUUGAAAUGCAAACAAUUGCCAAUUUGUUUGACUUGUAUUUAUAAUUAUUUCCUUGUGAAUUACUCAUCACUAAAUGCUUUAUAAAUAUUUUCUCUUUUUUUCCUCAAUGUCUAUGGAAUGAUCACAGCAUAGAAAAUGUUGGCUUUCAAGGAUUUAUUAAUAUCUCCUUUUGAAAUAACAUGUAUUUGUAAGACAGAAUAAAAUCACUUUAAAGAAACAAA
rnacentral:lncRNA from 1 species